ensembl:ncRNA H08J11.7 ncRNA
CGUUGUUGAAAAAUAUGACCAAUGUGAAAAAUGAUAGGUUCCACCGAGAUUUGAACUCGGGUCGCAGGAUUCAAAGUCCUGAGUGCUAACCGCUACACCAUGGAACCGCAUGUCUUCCGCGCGUCAAUUUCGGCUUUUGCAACUGUUUGUUGAUCAAACUUUUGUUCCUUGUUCGU